CAGAAAUGUGGUUCUUUUCUCUGGACCAAGCAAAAGUUGUGAUCAAAUCCAUUCAGCUGAAACUUCUGCAAAUGUCUCCCAAGUUCUUUAGGCUUCCGCAGGUCAAAUGGAGUAUCCUGCACUGGCGUGAUCUUUCCUGAUUGGCGAGAGGAGAACAAAUCAAAAGAGGAGUGAGGAUAUGAAGGAACUGAUGUAGCCUGAAAUAUUCAGGUGUAUAAUUAUAAUUAUAAAAACAUGAAAGGACCUGAAACAUAAAAAUCCAGUGACUCUUGGCUUUUCACAGUUGCUAUUGUUAAGACAAUAAUCCCUGCACUAAAUACACUAAUAUGCACUGUGAUUUUAAAAAACAUUAUUCUAUUCUGCCUUAGACAUGAAAGUCAGUUGGGGUGACUAGGCCAGUCACUUUUUCUCAGCCCAAUCUACCUCACAGGGUUGUUGUGGAGAAAAUAGGUUAAGAGACUAGUAUUAUGUAUAUUGAGUUAUUUAUAAAAGUAAUAAAGGCAGCAUAUAAAUAAAUAUCUCUGAGAACAGGCAGGAGUUACCUUGAGCCAAUUAGUUCUUCUAGCUGACUUACAUAGUUUUAAAAAAGCUUGGUGCAAAGUGUCCUACCCUCUUGAUCCAUCACAAUUCUUAAAAUAAUAGCCAAUCAUCCCUAGACAUAGAAAAAAACUAAGAAUUUGCUGGCAGACAGAACUUUCUACAUUAUCAGGACCUGUGUGCAUUUGUCAUGUUAGUUAUGAGAGAAGGCAACCAUUCCUUCUGUUUCUCUAUCUCAAAAAACUCCACUGCUAGAUGUGCUGCUGGAAAAUUAGCAUGCUAUGGCUACUAGAAGCUUUGCGCAGUAGUUCUCACCAAGUUUAGGUUACUGUGGGUGAGAGGAGGAAAAAGAGAAAAUUUACCUGCUUAAAUCCAGAGACUAGACAGUUCAGCGAGGCAAAAAUGUACUACACAGUUCUUACAAAAGCAGUAAAAAUCAAGAACGGCCGAUUGUUUUAAAACAUGUUGAUGAAGAUUCUCAGCCAUUCAGGUAGAAUUGUCUGGAAGCUGAAUCAUGGCAACUGGAUUUAUUUUCUUGUUAGUUUGAAAUGCUUCACUGAUGCUUCACUGCUUAUCCGAGUAGUUUCUUCAGUUUGAGCAAGUUGGUUAGUUGGAACAAACCUACCGGUAUAUGAGCUUAUUCCCCCUAAACAAAUUCCUCAGACUGAAGAAGAUACUUAGAUAAGCAGCAAAACUUUAAAAAAAUAAUAAUAAGUCUAGUCAUCAUAAUUCAAUUUCCAGACAUGUAUUUGGAAACUAACCAGAAUCUGAGUGAGAAGGAUUAAGUUGCCAAUAAAAUUGCCUGCUUUCCUUAAACAUACUUCAGGUGGAACAGAUGUUGAGUUAGGGCUUGCUUCACUUAAGAGAUGGGAAGCAAGAUAAAGCAAGAGCAAAGCCCAUGUGGAAAUAAACUAUACAUAAACGUCCACAUUGUAAAAAAGAGCUUUGUUUAUUUUACAAAAAUCUUGGUUCAACCCUUAAAACAAGAUUCUGUCAGAGGAAUGGGAAGUCCUGAUCCAACAGCACAGCUACCUCUUUUGAAAACUGAAAAGAGUAGAUACUGCAAAUGGACCUAAAUCUCGGUCCUUAGAACAAUAUAUUCCAAAGUAUGAAUGGUGGACAAAUAAAAAAUCAGUAAUGCCAAUGUUUCCAAUUAAAAAUUUUUUAAAUAGGUCUGAGAUCCCAGAGACCCAUUGCAAAUCAUGUUCACUGGCAUAAAUGUACCAUAAUCUGUACUGGCAUAAAACAAGUUUCUAUGUUCAGUAUGAUUCUAAGAGCAAUUGUCAACUACUGUAUAUUGUACAUUGUGGCCUUCUUUCAAAAUACCAUUGCACCUGUUGUCAGGUUUACUUUUAUAAUGAACUGAACUACUAGCAUCAUGUCCAACCUGAUACCCCUAUGUUAGAUUAUCCUCCCCAUUGGGCUUCAAAGGAGUUAGUUUCCCUAAUGUACACUAUGUGGGGAAACAGAGACAACCAGCAUAGUCAUUCUGAGUAUUAAGAUAUAGAAAUGGCAAGCUGAGAAUCUGUAAGAGGUGUGUAAACAAACAAACCUCACAUCUGGAUGUAAAUUACAAAGCAUGGGCUCAGGCUAUGUGUUCUAAUUUCUGCAAUGUUGCAAUAAAUUUGAUAGUCAUUACCUCAACAAUUUCCCUAUAAUUCCAGUUUGGUGUAAUAUAUAACCUGUUAAAUGGUAAUUUGGAAACAGGAUUUUAAAUUUAUAACAAGCCCAAUAUUUUUCUCCCUAGAAUACAGCUUCACCUUCAAAGACACCCAGAUUAACCAACCUGUUGGAAUCAAAGUUUCGUCCAGUGGCAAGUAACAAUCUGCCUCUAUGACAAUGAAAUAGUAUCUAAAAGAUGAAGUCUUGCCCCAUCAGAGGGAAGAUUCUGAGCCAAUGGACAAAUCCAGUUGGUGAAGAAGGCAAUUUUCUAAACAUAAAGACUGAUUCCAGUGGUGUUCAGGGAAGAGGAGAAAUCGCUCCAUAGGCCCAUUCUUUAUGGGAUACUACAGGGUUGUAUUCUGCCUCCUCACCUUUUCAACAGAUACCUGAAACUGCUAGAUGAGGACAUUUGCUGGUUUGGGUCUUCAAGGAGGUGAUUAUGCAGCCUAAGGAUAUGAUUUCCACUUUGACUGUGUCGGAUGAGAGCAGGAAUUUUUCCACGGUUCCUCCGUCAAGAGGCAAUUUACCAAAGGCUUCUUUCUUCACCUCAAGC